GGAUGCGAUCAUACCAGCACUAAAGCAUCGGAUCCCAUCAGAACUCUGAAGUUAAGCGUGCUUGGGCGAGAGUAGUACUAGGAUGGGUGACCUCCUCGGAAGUCCUCGUGUUGCAUUCC
rnacentral:rRNA from 1 species